AUUGUGCUGAGACACACUGAGAAUCUUCUCCUUGUGAGAGCUCCCUAGAUUGAUUUCAAACAACAGUGCUCACCAGGAGCGCAAGCUGAAUUCUAAAUAAUGACAUCAAGACUUUGAGUAGCAGAGGGAGCUGUCAUGGAAUGGCCAACAAAAAGAAAAAAGAACACCAUUACGAGAGAGAAGGCUUAAUGGAAUUUUUGAAAGCGUAGAUGAAACCACUCUAGAUUGCUCUAGAUUGCUCUGAUUUGGUAUGUGAGUGAACACCGGACAGGAGACUGAGCAGGGCUUAUGCAUGGACACUGCUGGACACUGCUGCAUCUGUUCCAUCCAUGAGAUCAGACAAACCAUCUAAAAGAUUUAUCUGUUUCCUUGUGAGUGAGUCAGUUUGCUCCUGCUUUCAUCAUCUCAUGUGGUCAGAAGACAACACAUCACAGAAGGUCAGGAAUGGAAAGUUAGGCAUCACAGAGAUGAGACCCCAUGAUCAUGAUCGUGUGCUGCUCACUUUCCCCUCUGGAGCCAAUUUGCAUGAACCCAGUGUUCCAACUAGGGUGGCUGAGCAGAGAACAAGUCCGGUCCAAAGAAUGCUGAAGACAUAGGCUGCAGAAGUCUGCCUUUGGAACACAUCAUCCUGGAGAAGGAUGGCGAAUGGAACUGGGAGGAGCACAGAAGACUAAGCAGUGAAUAUAAAGCUGCAUAAUGAAAUGGGCCACAUGAUAUCAUUUGUACAAAUGGGAAAAAUACUGAACACUUUAAAAAUACUGUAUCUUAUCAACC
rnacentral:lncRNA from 1 species